GAUAUAAAAUUUGCAUGCUUCGGUAAUAAAUUUGUAUAAGCGUUAAUAACCCAAAAACGAGGCUACAUUUGUAACUUUAAUCACAUACUUUACCGCAAACAUAUUUUACCGCGUUUCCAGGCUAUUUUAAUAUUUCCAGCGUGUUUGACAUUUCCUGCGCGAGCAUCAAAAUACACGCAUAACGAUGUUGCAGAAGCGUCGGUGAAUUUAACGUUAUCGUCGCUUAUAGCUUCAUUUACGUACAAACACGCAUAAGUGCUUGUACGUGCGUAUUCGCAGAUGCGACCUCCGUCCCUGUGGAAUUCUAGAGCUGGUCAAUGUAUAGUUACAUACGUACGGAACAUACCACCGAACCGGCAACUAGACACGAGUGUUUACCCCCCUGUGUGAUCCUUACGUUGCCUGCAAUUUAUAGGGAAAAAGUUCUACGAGAUUAUUCUAACUAUAUCACACACGUGUGUUUUCUGGAUACACGUGUACGGUUAUAUAUAAAACAGACGCUACCAAUUCUUGUGAAAAAAAUUAUAUUACAAAUUGCAAUAAAUAAACUUUUCAUACCUUCUCCGAUAUUAACUAACAGAUAACACUCGACUGAUAUCAACUAAUUCUGCUACAGACAAGCCUUUUGUAACAUGGUUAACUCGUUUCGCGUUAUAUCGAAAUCAGGUUUCCAAGUGUGUGUUAACGGCAAGUACUUAAUACUAAGGAAGACUGCAAGACCCUGGAUAUCUUCACCUUAAGGGAUCUGUGUAUAUAGAUCGUCGAGAGGAACGCGUGAGCUGGAAUCGGAAAGGUCAGAGGAUCUCGUGGCAAUGCGUCAUCGAGUAGGCAAACAGGACACCGAUCGAAGCGAGCGUUCCUAUCCCUA
rnacentral:lncRNA from 1 species